rnacentral:rRNA from 1 species
UACAGAGGGGGCAAGCGUUAUUCGGAAUUAUUGGGCGUAAAGGGCGCGUAGGCGGCUUGGCAAGUGGAAGGUGAAAUCCCUCGGCUUAACCGAGGAACUGCCCUCCAAACUGCUUCGCUUGAGACCGGGAGAGGUGAGUGGAAUUCCCAGUGUAGCGGUGAAAUGCGUAGAUAUUGGGAGGAACACCAGUGGCGAAGGCGGCUCACUGGACCGGUACUGGACGCUGAUGCGCGAAAGCGUGGGGAGCAAACGGGG